rnacentral:tRNA from 1 species
GGGUCGGUAGCUCAGAUUGGAAGAGCGUACGUACGUGUUAUCAAACCGUAAGGACGCGGGUUCGAUGCCUGCUCGACCCUCCA